AUUGAACGCUGGCGGCAUGCCUUACACAUGCAAGUCGAACGGUAACAGGUCUUCGGAUGCUGACGAGUGGCGAACGGGUGAGUAAUACAUCGGAACGUGCCUAGUAGUGGGGGAUAACUACUCGAAAGAGUGGCUAAUACCGCAUGAGAUCUACGGAUGAAAGCAGGGGAUCGCAAGACCUUGUGCUACUCGAGCGGCCGAUGGCAGAUUAGGUAGUUGGUGGGAUAAAAGCUUACCAAGCCGACGAUCUGUAGCUGGUCUGAGAGGACGAUCAGCCACACUGGGACUGAGACACGGCCCAGACUCCUACGGGAGGCAGCAGUGGGGAAUUUUGGACAAUGGGCGCAAGCCUGAUCCAGCAAUGCCGCGUGCAGGAUGAAGGCCUUCGGGUUGUAAACUGCUUUUGUACGGAACGAAAAGCCCUGGGUUAAUACCCUGGGGUCAUGACGGUACCGUAAGAAUAAGCACCGGCUAGCUACGUGCCAGCCGCCGCUGUAAAAC
rnacentral:rRNA from 1 species